AUGGCUCAGAACGAACGCUGGUGGCGUGUCUUAUACAUGCAAGUCGAGCGAGGCAGCAAUGCCGAGCGGCGAACGGGUGAGUAACGCGUAAGCAAUCUGCCCCAUAUCAGGAAAUACCCGUGCCAACGCGCGGUUAAUGUCCAGGAGAGUGGCCCUCUGCAUGGAGGGUUGACUAGAGAUUUAUCGGUAUGGGAUGAGCUUGCGUCCGAUUAGCUAGUUGGCGGGGCAACGGCCCACCAAGGCGACGAUCGGUAGCCGGCCUGAGAGGGUGAUCGGCCACAUUGGGACUGAGAUACGGCCCAGACUCCUACGGGAGGCAGCAGUAGGGAAUAUUGCACAAUGGGGGAAACCCUGAUGCAGCAACGCCACGUGUGGGAAGAAGCAUUUCGGUGUGUAAACCACUGUCAUGAGGGAAUAAGGCCCGCCUUCGGACGGGAUUGAAUGUACCUUGAGAGGAAGCACCGGCAAACUUCGUGCCAGCCGCCGC
rnacentral:rRNA from 1 species